UGCGUAGGUGGGAUGGUCAGUCAGUGGUGCAAGCCUAGGGCUCAACUUUAGGAUUGCCAUUGAUACUGCCAUUCUUGAGUUCGGAAGAGGAAAGUGGAAUUCCUGGUGUAGCGGUGAAAUGCGUAGAUAUCAGGAAGAACACCGGUGGCGAAGGCGGCUUUCUGGUCCGAUACUGACACUGAGGCGCGAAAGCGUGGGGAGCGAACAGGAUUAGAUACCCUGGUAGUCC
rnacentral:rRNA from 1 species